UGGUGGGUAGUUUGACUGGGGCGGUCUCCUCCUAAAGAGUAACGGAGGAGCACGAAGGUUGGCUAAUCCUGGUCGGACAUCAGGAGGUUAGUGCAAUGGCAUAAGCCAGCUUGACUGCGAGCGUGACGGCGCGAGCAGGUGCGAAAGCAGGUCAUAGUGAUCCGGUGGUUCUGAAUGGAAGGGCCAUCGCUCAACGGAUAAAAGGUACUCCGGGGAUAACAGGCUGAUACCGCCCAAGAGUUCAUAUCGACGGCGGUGUUUGGCACCUCGAUGUCGGCUCAUCACAUCCUGGGGCUGAAGUAGGUCCCAAGGGUAUGGCUGUUCGCCAUUUAAAGUGGUACGCGAGCUGGGUUUAGAACGUCGUGAGACAGUUCGGUCCCUAUCUGCCGUGG
rnacentral:rRNA from 8 species